GGUCCGUGUUUCAAGACGGGUGCAAUAAAUUGCCUUCCGUGUUGGUAAUUUCACUACUUUAUUGGUCUGAAAAGACCUUUCUUCUUUCCUUCGCAGUACUUCUUCGCUAUCGGUGUUCUGUUAUAUUUAGUCUUGGAUGCGAUC
rnacentral:rRNA from 1 species